rfam:Aedes albopictus isolate Foshan contig122332, whole genome shotgun sequence.
UAGCCUAGUGGUUAAGGCUAUGGAUCGCCAAUCCGAAAACGGCGGGUUCGACUCCCGU